ensembl:lincRNA Gm42711 predicted gene 42711
UGAUUUUGGAGACAGAGCCCUCGUCAAUAGAACUGGAACUCUCAUACAAAGACAAGAGAAAACCAACUUCCACUCUUCUUUUAAUGAAAGGGGGUAGCCAGAAGAGAUAUAAGACAAGAGUCAUGCUGAUAACCUUGGCCUUAAGCUUCUGAGAUUCAGGAACUACCCAAAAGAAACCAAAAGAAAUUGACAUCAUUUCAUCUCUCCUGGCUGGUAGAGUGUUUGUUGUGGCAUCGUGUAGGUGUGGUUUUUGGUUUUAGUUUUUGUUGUUGUUUUUUAUGUUUUUAACUUGUUCGUUUUUACUUGAGUUGAGUUUGGGCAGGACUCCAUGGGUGUUCUCCCAAGCGCCUUCCUCUUUAACUUCUACAGCACUGGCUCUGAAAGUGUCCAAAGUUUCUCCAAAGAUGUUAAGAGGACUGCUUUGCUUGGGAAGUCCUGAGAGGCAGUUUAGGAGUGCCCGCCUUUAGGAUUGAUUUGCUUCCUGGACAAGCCAGCCUUUUGGUGGGCAUGGCUCGGCAACUAUGAAGAAGAGUGAGAGAGAAAUGCACCAAAACACUUCUCAUGGCAUUCUGGACGCUUCUGCUGACUCGUGCCAACUUGAGGGAGUCUUCCAGUUUCUGCUGGAUCUUGUUACUGCAAUUGAUUUGUGUUUGGUGUUUGCUAUUGAACUGGACUACUAAUACACCAACAACAAAGAAUGGAAUCGCAUCAAAGAACUACUACGAAAUGGGUCCCCCCCCACACUUUUCCUAUUAACCUCCUUUCUCCCCUACCUCUGGUUGCUAGGCUAGAAAGGAAGUUGAGGUGUUUAAUAACACUAAAUAAGGUAGGUUUAGAAAAAUCUAAGCCUACAGAGGUUACUAUUCAAGACAGAGUGAGUCAUGGACUGUCAGUGUGGCCUUACAUGUGGACGAGCUGGCCGAAGUCAGAGAAGCAGGGAUGGAAGUACCAGCAUUACUGGAUCUGCUGUUCCUGGACUUGUAGAUUGAGGAAGAGGCCAUGAAGCUGGAAAGCAUAGUGCCCAGGGCACAGACUUUCAUAGGAGCAUCCUGGAAGUAAAAAGCUUCAUUUUAGCUCCAUCAAACUCAUCUACAUUGGACUUCUAACACAGAGCAUUGCACUAUAACAUUUUGGCUCUAAAGCCACUAAGCUUGUGAUAAUUUGCCUUUGAAGUGACCAUCUAGUUGGCAUUUCUGGAGGAGGGAAAGUGUAGAGAAUAUCAAGAGAGCUUUAGCUGGGGAUGUAGAGAGUAUGAAAGUGAGCAGCAUGGUUCAUGCAAACAUAACAAAACACAGCGAAAGCAAGAGCAGAGGCAAGCCAUGCUUUGCUUUUAUUUUUCUUUUUUAAAAAUCGUUUUUCAUUAUUUUAUUUAUUUAUUCACUUUACAUCCAUAUUGCAGCCCACAUCUCCCCUACUAUCCCCCUUACACAUUUCUCCCAUUCUCCCUUCUCUUCUCUGGGAAUAGGGAGGUUACUCCUGGGUACCAACCCAUCCUGGCACAUCAAGUCCCUUUAAGACUAGGCACAUCCUCUCCCACCGAGGACAGACAAGACAGCCCAGUUAGGGGAACAGGAUCCACAGGCAGGCAACAAAGAUGGAGCAGAGAUGGAGGUGAUGGCUAACCAAUGACUACCCUAAGUUGAGACCCAUCCCAUAAGGAAGAACUAAUACCGGACACUAUUAGUGAUACUGUGUUAUGCUUGCAGAGAGAAACCUAGCAUAACUGUCCUCUGAGAGGCUCCACCUAUCAGCCAAUGGAAACAGAUGCAGAGACCCAUAGCUUAACAUUAAAUAGAGCAUGGGAGUCUCGUGGACGAACCAGGGAAAGAUCGAGGGAGCCUAGGGAGAUAGGGACUCCACAAGACUAACAGAGUCAACUAACCUGGACCCUUGGUGGCUCCCAGAGACUGAACCACAAACAAAGAGCAAGCAUGGGCUAGACCUAGCCCAACCCUACACAUAUGAGCAGAUGUACUGCUUGUUCUUCAUGUGGGUCCCUCAAAACUGGAGUGGGGAGGAGGGCAGCUGUCCCCGACUCUGUCGCAAGCCACAGUUUCUUAACCAAGGUAAAGUGAUCAGCUGCUCAGGGGAUUCAUUGUGGAGACUACUUGGACUGGGUCCUACUAAGAACCUCAGGUCCAAUGUGAUCAGGUUUGGAGAUGAGGUGUUUAUGAAGCCAUUAGGGUCAAAUGAGGUUAUCAGGGUGAGUUCCUGCCUGAUAGGUCUGUAAGUAGAGAUACCAGUAAGUUCACUUUCACUGCUACCCGGAGAUACCAGUUUAAGAAGGUAUAGAUCUACAAAA